CCUACGGGUGGCAGCAGUGGGGAAUAUUGGACAAUGGGCGAAAGCCUGAUCCAGCCAUGCCGCGUGUGUGAAGAAGGCCUUCGGGUUGUAAAGCACUUUCAGUGGGGAAGAAAGCCUUGGGGCUAAUACCCUCGAGGAAGGACAUCACCCACAGAAGAAGCACCGGCUAACUCCGUGCCAGCAGCCGUGGUAAUACGGAGGGUGCGAGCGUUAAUCGGAAUUACUGGGCGUAAAGCGCGCGUAGGCGGUCUGAUAAGCCGGUUGUGAAAGCCCCGGGCUCAACCUGGGAACGGCAUCCGGAACUGUCAGGCUAGAGUGCAGGAGAGGAAGGUAGAAUUCCCGGUGUAGCGGUGAAAUGCGUAGAGAUCGGGAGGAAUACCAGUGGCGAAGGCGGCCUUCUGGACUGACACUGACGCUGAGGUGCGAAAGCGUGGGUAGCAAACAGGAUUAGAUACCCUUGUAGUC
rnacentral:rRNA from 1 species